ACCCAAUCCUUGAUAGCUUUCUUGGACGGCAUCAUGGUGACAAGAGAAAAGGGGAGUUCUUGCAGAAACUACGGAAUGAAGGUGGAGUGUGAAAUUCAACCAGCCAUUAACUUCUAUUCAUAGGCGAAAGCGCCCAACCCAACUGUCAAUCAAAUGUAGCCACCUUUCAAGCUAUAAAUGAUGCAUCUUUCCAACUUUGAAAGUCAAUUCGAGCACUGCUUCAUGAACUAGAAUAUCGUCACGUGGCAUGCUCUCACAAGCUCGACAUCCUUCUCCAAAUAUGGCUCCAUUAGAAGAAGUGGUAGUCGUCAUUCCCUAUGAUCAUCAUGCAGGUCAAAUCCAACUUAAAUGUGUUGGGAAUCAUGAAAUGUCAGAGGAUCAUCCAUAAUUCAUGCAAGAGAGACCUGAUGGAAAAGGUACCGAAGAAUUCUCAUCUGAAAUGAGAGGUCUCUCGAGUAAAGGUCGAUGAUGACAUCAAACGACAUCGCACAACAAAGGAAAGACAACACAAGAUGAAUAUUUGCUAUUGUGUUUACAUAACUUAUAUGAUUACAGAAGUAACAUUAUCUUAAUAAGAUGGCAUCAGAGAUUGCUACAUUCAAAUACGAUAAGCCCCAGUCUCUGAAGCUUCAUCGGAAACUUUCGCACAGAUCUCCUUGCCAUCGGGGCCAAGCUCAUGAAUCUUAACCCCCUGGACCUGCCCUAGAGAGCGGAAGGUUUGGCAUCACCCUUGGGAGAGAAGUUAGAG
rnacentral:lncRNA from 1 species